rnacentral:rRNA from 1 species
AAAAAAGGUAAGCUACUAAGAGCGAAUGGUGGAUGCCUUGACUGGUAAAGGCGAUGAAGGACGUACUAGACUGCGAUAAGCUACGGGGAGCUGUCAAGAAGCUUUGAUCCGUAGAUUUCCGAAUGGGGCAACCCAAUGUAUAGAGAUAUACAUUACCUAUAUAGGAGCGAACGAGGGGAAUUGAAACAUCUUAGUACCCUCAGGAAAAGAAAUCAAUAGAGAUUGCGUCAGUAGCGGCGAGCGAAAGCGCAAGAGGGCAAACCCAGUGCUUGCACUGGGGGUUGUAGGACUGCAAUGUGCAAGAGGUGAGUUUAGCAGAACAUUCUGGAAAGUAUAGCCAUAGAGGGUGAUAGUCCCGUAUGCGAAAAACAAACCUUAGCUAGCAGUAUCCUGAGUAGGGCGGGACACGAGAAAUCCUGUCUGAAGCUGGGUCGACCACGAUCCAACCCUAAAUACUAAUACCAGAUCGAUAGUGCACAAGUACCGUGAGGGAAAGGUGAAAAGAACUGAGGUGAUCAGAGUGAAAUAGAACCUGAAACCAUUUGCUUACAAUCAUUCAGAGCCCUAUGUAGCAAUACAGGGUGAUGGACUGCCUUUUGCAUAAUGAGCCUGCGAGUUGUGGUGUCUGGCAAGGUUAAGCAAACGCGAAGCCGUAGCGAAAGCGAGUCUGAAUAGGGCGCUUAGUCAGAUGCUGCAGACCCGAAACGAAGUGAUCUAUCCAUGAGCAAGUUGAAGCUAGUGUAAGAACUAGUGGAGGACUGAACCCAUAGGCGUUGAAAAGCCCCGGGAUGACUUGUGGAUAGGGGUGAAAGGCCAAUCAAACUUCGUGAUAGCUGGUUCUCUCCGAAAUAUAUUUAGGUAUAGCGUUGUGUCGUAAUAUAAGGGGGUAGAGCACUGAAUGGGCUAGGGCAUACACCAAUGUACCAAACCCUAUCAAACUCCGAAUACCUUAUAUGUAAUCACAGCAGUCAGGCGGCGAGUGAUAAAAUCCGUCGUCAAGAGGGAAACAACCCAGACUACCAGCUAAGGUCCCUAAAUCUUACUUAAGUGGAAAACGAUGUGAAGUUACUUAAACAACCAGGAGGUUGGCUUAGAAGCAGCCAUCCUUUAAAGAAAGCGUAAUAGCUCACUGGUCUAGUGAUUUUGCGCGGAAAAUAUAACGGGGCUAAAGUAAGUACCGAAGCUGUAGACUUGCGCACAACUUAGAUUAUUUAAGUUUAGAAUAUGAGAAACUAAGUUAUAUGUUUAGUUAUAUUUUUACUGAUUUUUAUAGAGUAAAGAUAGAAAUAAAACUUAGUAAAAUCAGUAAAAAUAUUCUUAGACUAAAGUUAAGUAGUUUAAGUUGUGUGCAAGUGGUAGGAGAGCGUUCUAUUUGCGCCGAAGGUAUACCGGUAAGGAGUGCUGGAGCGAAUAGAAGUGAGCAUGCAGGCAUGAGUAGCGAUAAUUAAUGUGAGAAUCAUUAACGCCGUAAACCCAAGGUUUCCUACGCGAUGCUCGUCAUCGUAGGGUUAGUCGGGUCCUAAGUCGAGUCCGAAAGGGGUAGACGAUGGCAAAUUGGUUAAUAUUCCAAUACCAACAUUAGUGUGCGAUGGAAGGACGCUUAGGGCUAAGGGGGCUAGCGG